GACGCUGCAGAGUCCAAGGCCAUUCAGGGCAUCACAUGUCGGAGGAGAAUCUGCCUCGGAAUAAAUCACAUGGCUUGAACUCGGUGACUCACUGAAAUACACAGUUAGGCUAUGUCACACCUGUUAUCCCAGAGUUUAGAAAGACGAGGCAGGAAGACGGGGAACUCAAGACAAGUGUGAUCGAUAUCAUGAGUUCUCAGCUAAAACAAACCCAACAGCUUGGUGGUUGAGAUCACACCCUGCUCCUCUGGAUGACCCAAGUUCUAUUCCCAGUACCCACAAUGGGGGGCUUACACCUCCCUGUAACUCCAGCACCUCUGGACCAGUGCACGAACACCUCCUUGUCCAUAUGUAUAAUUAGAACUUGAUAAAAUAGAAUAGAAUAAAAUAAAACAAUCAAGAACUGA
rnacentral:lncRNA from 1 species